CCUACGGGUGACAGCAGUGGGGAAUAUUGCACAAUGGGCGCAAGCCUGAUGCAGCAACGCCGCGUGAGCGAUGAAGGCCUUCGGGUCGUAAAGCUCUGUCCUCAAGGAAGAUAAUGACGGUACUUGAGGAGGCAGCCCCGGCUAACGCCGUGCCAGCCGCCGCGGUCAUCCGUAGGGGGCUCGCGGUAUCCGGAAUUACUGGGCGUAAAGGGUGCGUAGGUGGUUUCUUAAGUCAGAGGGGAAAGGCUACGGCUCAACCGUAGUAAGCCUUUGAAACUGGGAAACUUGAGUGCAGGAGAGGAGAGCGGAAUUCCUAGUGUAGCGGUGAAAUGCGUAGAUAUUAGGAGGAACACCAGUUGCGAAGGCGGCUCGCUGGACUGUAACUGACACUGAGGCACGAAAGCGUGGGGAGCAAACAGGAUUAGAUACCCCAGUAGUC
rnacentral:rRNA from 1 species